rnacentral:rRNA from 1 species
GCCUGUAGCUAUACCACCUCAGGUCAUGAGUAUGCCUGGUCUCACAAACUAAACAAGACAGAGAGUGCUUAGUAUUUGAAUAAGUGAUCUCCUUGGAAACCCCAGAUGCUGCAGGAA